UCCAGCAAUAAACUCAUCCCAGUUCAUAACAUCGGGGUGGAUCAGUGCAUCGCGACUGUUGCCAGUUCAAGAUCAAAUGUGAAAAUAUAACUUCAUCUUUAAAGGGUAGAUCGCAAGAUUAAUUACAACGUUUUGACGCCACACUUGAGUGUUGACAAUGGGUCUCAAGGAAGAAUGAAGAAAGCCAGCGGUUUCCUGGGUUGAGUUGAACGAUUUUGAGAAGCCGGAGGAGUGUGAUUGUGCGGCAGGAAUCAUCGUCAUGAGCGCAGGCAUGCAGAAACCACCAGUUGCCCCCAAACCAAAGAAUGCCCAGCCACAGAGGCCAGGACCCUCCCCCUCCUCGACCCCCAAAAGAGAUGGCCUUUUUCAGGCUUCCCUCUGUACACCAAAGACGGUUAAACCAGCUCUGGCCCCUAAACCACCAUGCCUACCCAAACCAUUCCUCACCACUUCUGUGGAGUCCAAACCACCAUGCCUACCCAAACCAUGCCUCACCGCCACUAUGGAGUACAAACCUCUUUCCUCAAAGACUGUCCAUCACCAUCAGACUUAUUCUCAGAGACCAUCGGAGAUGUCUACAAGUAUAGGUCUUCUGAAGUCCAGGAAUACAAUACCUGAUUGGGAUAAUAUUAUUCCUAUCUGUCUGUGUAGCCAGAAGAACUGUCUGUGUGUUGGGAACAGUAUCACAACGGACACAGUGAUUAACACAAUUCCUAAAGACUUGAAAACAUUGCAUAACAAUUGCAAAACGGAGGAAUCUAGAAUAAAGCCUGUUCUCAGAUCUCGAUCUGGAGUGAACAAAGGGGUCAACAACAACAAGAGGAAAGUAGUCAACAACGCUCUACCAGACAAUUGCGUACAGGUUGUGUUGCUGUCCACCAAUAACCACCUCUUAAACCCGAAACAGAACCUCAACUCAGACAUUGUGACGCCAUCAUCACGCCCUGACAUAAAGCGCCCUCUUCCUCAGAGAACGCAUAGCAAUGAAGCCAACGGUAACGUCGUCUCCACCUCCUCUAAUGCCAUUGGUCACGGAGAACAGGAAGAUCCCACCAGCUCCACAGGGAUUGGCAGAGACACUGGCACAUCCAAUCAGAACCCAGCUGCCCCUAAGAAGCCCCUCCCUGUCCCCGUACCACGGAAACCCAGGAAGUCUGUUCUGGUUGGACAGGAAGUCCCAGAGGAGGGGAGGCAAGGGAGGGAAAUGACUGUCAGAAAGGUGUCACUGGAGAGGAAAAGCAGCCCAUCUCUGUCUGUCAACGCACCUGCUACUCAGGCACACAACAUCCCAGAAAGUCCUGCCAGUACAAAUGAUAGCUGGGAGGGUCUCCCAUCCUCCAGGACACCCGGCCCGCCACCUGUUCCUGCUCCCCCUCCCAGAAAGGAAGCCUUUCUUUCUGAACCUGAGAGAGCAGCACCGACCUCCUCUGCCACCUCCUCUCAGCACCUCCUCCCCACCUCCUCCCCUCUGCACCUCCUCCCCUCCUCUUCCUGUCUGCACCUCCCUCAGGAUGUAGAGGAGGAAGAGCUGAGAUGGGUGGAUGACGGUGUCUAUGAACUGGAGUGUUCAGUGGACAAGGAAGAGGAGGAGGAAGGGAGGAAUGAAGAGGAGGAGAUCCAUGAUAAGACUGGUUGCGAGAGGAUGACAACUAGUCUUUCCAACCAGCUGGAGCUCAGCUCCAACUGCCACUUUCCCCUCACCUUAAUAACCACUGGGAGUUACAAAGAAAACGCAAGUGCUCAAAACAAGAUGGCCGGCUUCCCCAAGAAACUGCAGAGACGCAGCUCCCCAGCAGCGUGGGUACUGAAGAAUGAACUGUCAGAAGAGAGAGAAGUGGAGGAACGAAAGACUUCCGAUAGUGACGAUGAUGGAGGUGCCCUCACCAAGGCCACGAAAGCUAUGAGAAAGCUCCCUGCAACCCCAGGAGAGGAUAAACCAAAAAGGAACAGAAUCUUUCAGACGCUGGUGUCUCCUGUAUCCCGUAAGAGGAGCACAGACAACACACAGACAAAGGGCAGCUUGCCAACAGAUGAAACGCUGUCACCGUCCAAGCCGUCUCGCUCCAGCCGGGGGAAACAGAAGGCCAAGUCCUUCUCCUCUGCCGACCUGACCCCCUCUGAGGGACAGAAACGGAACUCUUUUCGGAGGCUUCUCGAUCUGAAACUCUCUGUCAAGAGGCUGCCCAAGCUGCUAGCCAAGGGAGGCCAGUCUCUAGACAGCACUGCAGCUGAGGCAGAACAAUAUGCGGAUGAUGUAUUCCAAGACCGUGGCGUCUGUUUCCAGGAACGCAUGGGCAUUCGAGUGGGGGAUGCCCGCAAGUUCUCCUGUCCCCAGCUGGGGGUGAUUGGGGUUGGGGCGGAGCAGAGCGUGGACGGGGAUGAGAUCCACUACCCCGGAGCGGAGCAGGCUGUGGAGUAUGAAAAUGUUCCCUAUUACGAGGCCAUACCUGAAUAUUUUAUCCAGCCUGUUGGACUGGGAUUACGGGGGAGUGAGCUCGGGGUGGGUACACCACCGGACCAGUCGGAGUGCCACAACCACCUGUAUGAUGAUGCCGAUAUCUAUGAGGAACAGGAGCCGUACCAUCCCCUGAAGAGACACAGUGAACACAGCAGCACUGAGGAAUUCUUCUAUGAGGAACAGGAGCCGUACCAUCCCCUGAAGAGACACAGUGAACAACAACUGAACCAGCACAGCAGCACUGAGAGGAGUUCUAUAGAUGAGGAUGUUGGCCCGCUAGAUGAAGGUCAGUCGGAUGAAGACGUCAUGGUUCAGAGUUCAGAUGAAGAGGAUGAUGAGAGUUCCUCCUCUAGCAAAGGAGAAACUGAGAAGCCUGAGGAGAGGGAGGCUGGCAGUGGUGCCAAGCGGAACAAGAUAGUCCACAUCGCCAGAGAGAUCAUGAGCUCCGAGAAUGUAUUUGUCAACGUCCUGAAGCUUCUCCAUAUGGAUUUCCGUGACGCGGUGGCGAAGGCUUCUCGUCCGAGUGGGAAGCCUAUUAUAGAGGAGGCUAUUCUGAACCAGAUCCUGUACUAUCUGCCCCAGCUCUACGAACUGAACCAGGACCUGCUCAGAGAGCUGGAGGACAGGGUCGCCCAGUGGGAUGAACAUGGUCGUCUAGCUGACAUCUUUGUGAAGAAAGGGCCUUAUCUGAAGAUGUAUUCCACAUACAUCAGAGAGUUUGACAAGAAUGUGGCCCUACUAGACGAGCAUAGCAGGAAGAAUCCAGCUUUCGCUGCAGUGGUGCGGGAAUUUGAGGCUGGUCCUCGCUGUGCCAGCCUGGCUCUGAGGCAUUACCUGCUGAAGCCUGUUCAGAGGAUCCCUCAGUAUCAGAUGCUGCUCACAGACUACCUGAAGAACCUGUCUCCAGACUCGGCAGAUUACAAAGACACACAAGCUGCUCUGGGCAUCGUGAAGGAGGUGGCCAACCAUGCCAAUGACAUCAUGAAACAGGGGGAUAACUUCCAGAAGCUGAUUCAGGUUCAGUGCCGUCUGAACGGACACCAUGAGAUCGUCCUGCCUGGGAGGGUGUUCCUGAAAGAGGGUGUUCUGAUGAAGCUCUCCAGGAAGGUCAUGCAGCCCAGGAUGUUCUUUCUGUUCAACGACACGUUGCUGUACACCACACCAGUUCAAUCUGGCCAGUUCAAACUCAACAACAUGCUGUCUCUGACUGGGAUGAAGGUCAGCAAGCCCAGCCAAGAGGCCUUUCAGAAUGAGCUGACCAUUGAGAGUGUGGAACGCUCCUUCAUACUCUCUGGCAGUUCUGCAGUUGAGAGAGAUGAUUGGCUGGAGGCCAUCUCCACAGCGAUCAAUGACUACACCAGGAAGAAGAUUUCCUUCAUCUCCAGCAAGACUCUGGAGGAGACUGGGUCUGAGGACAGUGGCAGUGGGGCCCCUUUGGGUUCUAAGGCCCCUAUCUGGAUCCCAGACCCAAGGGCCACCAUGUGUAUGGUCUGUACCUGUGAGUUCACCCUCACCUGGAGACGACACCACUGCCGAGCCUGUGGAAAGGUGGUGUGCCAGUCCUGCUCCUCCAACAAACACUGUCUGGAGUAUCUGAAGAACCAGCUGGCCAGAGUGUGUGAUCAGUGCUUUAUUGUACUACAGCAGAGAAGUGAAAAGGACCUGUCUGCAACUCUCUCCCCUGGUGGAAAAUCCUCCUUUGCUUUCGCCAGGAAAACGAAGAAGAUCCCUGCUGCUCUCAAGGAGGUGACAGCGAACACAGACAACUCGUCUAUGAGUGGUUACCUGCAGAGGUCAAAGGGCAAUAAGAAGCAGGGGAAGAGGCUUUGGUUCGUCAUCAAGAACAAAGUUCUGUAUACGUACGCUGCCAGUGAGGACGUGGCAGCGUUAGAGAGCCAGCCAUUGCUGGGCUUCAUGUUGAAAGAGGAGGAAGAAGGGGCAGAACCGCCAGUUCAGAAGCAACAGUUCAAGCUCUAUCACAAAAACACGCUGCAUUACAUUUUCAAGGCAGACGACAGCCAAACUGCCCAAAGGUGGAUAGAUGCGUUCAAGGAAGCUAUGGUGCUCUAACCAUCAUUCUCUGUACCUGCAGUCGAUGAACUGCACCUAAAGCAGUGACGUUACGAAGAGACCCGUUCUAAAUGGACCCGAGGACAACUAGAUCCCUUCUCAACGGACCCGAGGACAACUAGAUCCCUUCUGAACAGACCCGAGGACAACUAGAUCCCUUCUGAACGGAACCGAGGACAACCUAGAUCCCUUCUGAACGGACCCGUGGACAGCUAGACCCAUUCCGUAUAGAUCUGGUCAGAUCCAGACCCGAUCAGAGUGAGGGCUAACUGAGGCUGCAAUGCAAUGCAUGUGCUUUGUCAUACUACAGUUACAAAUAACAACUCCAUUCAGAAUAUUAAGUAGCAGCCUGUCUACCUGUUGGCUCUUGGUCAUUGUAGCCUAUCCUUAUAGCCUAUCCUGCCUACCUGUUGGCUCUUGGUCGUUGUAGCCUAUCCUUCUCCAACUUUUAAUUAAGUCAAUUUAAUUCCAUCUUCCAUCGAUUAGAUAUCCUAACUUUUAACACACAGAGGCUCUAUGACUGCAACCUAAUACCGCUUUGAUGACUUAUGAUUGGCCAACGACAAGCUAUUGGCCAACGACAAGCUAUUGGCCAACGACAAGCUAUUGGCCAACCACAAGCUAUUUGCCAACAACAAGCUAUUGGCCAACAACUUGCUGGAUCCACAGGCUUCACGCUUGUGAAAAGCAGCAGCAUAAAUUAUAAAAUGUCUCUCUCUACUUCAGCAGUUGCAUUCUGGUCUGUACGGGCCAGUUACAUUUUCACAUACCCAAGACAAUUCUAUCAGAUCCGACCAAGACCUGUGACACGCAUUUAGAAUUCUGGAUCUGGACUCACUCGGGUCCCGGAUCGGGUCUCGGGUUUUCGGGUACAGGUGGAUCCAUGAAGACCUCUAGUGAGAACCACGAGCCUCCUAGGUUUUUAUAUUGAAGGCAAUAUACCCAGAGGACGGAAACAAGAUGUCCUCCGGCUACACCAUGGUGCUACCCCAGAGAGUGCUGUUGAGGCUAUUGUAGACCAUUGCACAACAGUGUGUUGUAAUCAAUUAUUUGCUGACAUUAAUAUAUUUAGUAUAGUUUUAUGAUUUUUUUUAAAUGUUUCACUAUUUCAAUUUUUAUGAAAUUCACUUAGGAUGGUCCUCCUCUGAGGAGCCUCCACUGAACGAAAUAUCAAAUCUGAUGUGAAUUUGACAACAGCUGGAUCCCUUCUAGCCAUGGCCAUGGGGUAGGGACAUCCCAAGGAUUCCUUCUAGCCCAAUGAUUCGUGAUAAUGUAACAGCUGUCCAGCGAAGACAAUAAGACUGGUCUCGGCACCAGUGUAACAUCUGUGAUCUUACUUCGUAAAUCUCUUGCCUUGUGUUUUUAAAGAAAGGACUGUCCAGCCAGCGAGGCCAGUUGAUUGGUGUUUAUUCUGACGAUAGACACAAGGAAGCACAUUACAUGUGCAGGACAACAGUAUAACGAUGGCUGUAGAUUUGUGAUUCGUCACUUUCUUUAUUUGCAUCUUUCCGUUAGGGAUGCCCUACUCUGUGAAGUAUGUGUGCAAAAGGUAAAGUUUACAAAACGCAGUCUUGCUCCAGGGACGUUGAGACUGGUGUUUUGCAGGUACUCUUUAAUGAAGCUGCCAGUUGAGGACUUGUGAGGCGUCUGUU